UACAGAGGUCCCAAGCGUUGUUCGGAUUCACUGGGCGUAAAGGGCGCGUAGGCGGUCGGGCAAGUCUGAUGUGAAAUCUCACAGCUUAACUGUGAAACUGCAUUGGAUACUAUCCGGCUCGAGGAAUGGAGGGGAGACUGGAAUACUUGGUGUAGCAGUGAAAUGCGUAGAUAUCAAGUGGAACACCAGUGGCGAAGGCGGCUUGCUGGGCCGGUUCUGACGCUGAGGCGCGAAAGCGUGGGGAGCAAACAGG
rnacentral:rRNA from 1 species